rnacentral:rRNA from 1 species
ACGCUGGCGGCGUGCCUAAUACGUGCAAGUCGAGCGAACAGACGAGGAGCUUGCUCCUCUGACGUUAGCGGCGGACGGGUGAGUAACACGUGGAUAACCUACCUAUAAGACUGGGAUAACUUCGGGAAACCGGAGCUAAUACCGGAUAAUAUAUUGAACCGCAUGGUUCAAUAGUGAAAGACGGUUUUGCUGUCACUUAUAGAUGGAUCCGCGCCGCAUUAGCUAGUUGGUAAGGUAACGGCUUACCAAGGCAACGAUGCGUAGCCGACCUGAGAGGGUGAUCGGCCACACUGGAACUGAGACACGGUCCAGACUCCUACGGGAGGCAGCAGUAGGGAAUCUUCCGCAAUGGGCGAAAGCCUGACGGAGCAACGCCGCGUGAGUGAUGAAGGUCUUCGGAUCGUAAAACUCUGUUAUUAGGGAAGAACAAAUGUGUAAGUAACUAUGCACGUCUUGACGGUACCUAAUCAGAAAGCCACGGCUAACUACGUG